rnacentral:lncRNA from 1 species
AAGCAAUUUGCUCAUAGCCAUAGCUUUCUUGUGAAAGUAGGAUAUUAACCCAGGUGUCUUGGUGCUGGAGAACAGAACUGGCCAGAGUCCAUCCUGUCUCCCACCGGCAUCCCAUUACGAAAUGAACACAGAAAAGGCAGGUCUGCAAUGCCAACAUCUAGUAUCUAUCCCAAAGACCAGGGAGAAAGGAAGGAAAGAUUCUGGUUCUGUCCUCUUCCCCAAGGCAAGGCUGGCUGCCCUACCAACAGAGGCAAAGAGAAGAGUGUGCAAGGCUGGCUGCCCUCCCAACAGAGGCAAAGAGGAGUGUGUGUUGAAAUAUCCAUUGAAUCCCUGAGACAACUGGAUCCUGGCCCAUUGAAUCAUAAACUCAAAUCUCACAUCAUAACCCCAAAUGACCUGUUACUCACCAUGUGGCCCAGCUGUCUUCAAACUCACCAGCCUCCUGCCUUAGCCUUCUAAAUGCUUGGAUUACAGGCAUGACCCACCAUAACUGGCUUUGUUUUAGUUUCAGAGAAGAUGAAACUGAUGUGCGUCAAAAAGUAAACUACCCACAUUUUAACUGGGCACAUUCCUGUCAAUCUGAUGAGAAUCUAUUUCAUACCCUGCUUUAGCUGGUAGUCUGUCAAGGAAAUGAGCUGAACAUGUCUGUGUACAGCUUUUGUGCCAUCCCUGGAUGAGCGAGCUGUCUGCCUCUAUGUUCUCCACAAAAUGGAAUAUAGCUGUACACCCAAGCCAAGUUAUGGAGGCUGGGAAGACCUAGAAUGUGGCAUCACUAUUUGCUGAAAUUUUUAAUAUAAUGCCUCUUAGCCUGGUUUGGAGAAAACGUCACAGAGAGGCACCAUUUGUUGUGGUUUUACAUGAAAAUUUUCUGACCCUGAACCUGGUUUGAUGGAAAUCAUUUGCUGAGGAAACCAUGCCGAUUACCGACCGAGCUCUCAAUGGAAAAAUGCAGUCGGCGUGAACCACGCACGAACACAGCAGAGAAAGAAGAAAACACACACCACGAGGAACCCUAAUAGGACAAUACAUUAUAAGCCUCAUGGUACAUCCACUUGGUGUGCUGGGAGAGUCAGGAUGAGGACCUGAGAAGAACAGCAGCUUGAACCUGACUUCAUUUAACAGCCCACUGCCCUCUUGCCAAGAACCCAUCACAGACCUUCCCAGAAGAGAGGGAUGAGCCUCACCUAUGAAUAAGUCCUCAGAAACUCAAAUUUGAUUCUAAUGGAUUGUUUUCUCAGAAAGACUGAGCAUGUCCCCCCACAUCUCUGUCAUUUCCCACAGUAGUAACCUCUGCAGAUGCCACAUAGAAAACAAAACAAAACAAAAAAACAUGAGGUUGGUGGGCAGAUAGGCAGGGUAUAAACAAACAGCCUUGUAACCCAGAAGCUGUGUGAUAUACAGUAAACUUCACAACACUGAAAAGAUGUCCUAUCUGUUAAAAUGGGGUAAUAACAACUACCCGAAUGUUUAGGAAUAGAACUUCAAUAAAUGAUACAUUUUAUAGUACAGCAGACCAUCCUGUAAAGGUUUCAUCCUUCACUGUGGUGAUAAAUAUCCCAAACCACAUUGAAAAGCAUUGCAUCUACAUUUAUCUACACUGUAACUGUACUGUAAAUCAUGGGGGAGGGGAGAAUCAUAAAAACACCACCUGUCACCGUGUCAUUAAAGCAAGUUGGAAGUGAUACUUACAGAAACACAGCAAGAGCACCCCCAGUCACACAGUUCAAUCUCUUAGCAAGCGUUUUCUUUCUAGCCCAGUGGUUCUCAGUUUGGAAUUUUUGGCACUGCCUAGAGAUAGUUUUGUUGUUAAAACUGAGAAAAGAGCCGGGCGUGGUGGCACACGCCUUUAAUCCCAGCACUCAGGAGGCAGAGGCAGG